ACAUCACAUUACAUCACAUGUCAUUUAUCUGACGCUUUUAUCCAAAGCGACGAAUAAGAACAUUUCAACCAUAAGGACACAAACUCAGAAGAACAAGAAACAAGAAAGUGUGAUUUCAUCAAAUAAGCCGCUUUACAACUUGCUGUAGAUAAGAACCAUUAUAAGUCCAAUGUAAGUGCUGCAGGUAGUUAGUGUGUUAGUGGAGGUAGAGUCUGAAGAGGUGUGUCUUUAGUCUGAAGAUGUGAAGGCUCUCUGUGGUCCUGAUGUCUUCAGAGACCUCCUUCCACCAUUUAGGAGCAGGACAGCAAAGAGUGGAGAUCUAGUCCAGUGUUUUGCUCUCAGUGAGGAGGAACAAGCAGUUUAUCACAUGCAGAGCGGAGAGUGGUUUUGACAAACUAAGAGUUUCAAUGAUGCAAGUGGGUUUUGCUUCAGAAGACAAAGCAAAGAUAAGAGGACACACUGUCCCUCAAUUCACUGUAAUCUAGAGUCUGUCAGUCCAGCCACGAAGAAACAGCAAGAGCGAAAGACAACCAGCAAUUCAAUUAACGUAAAACAGCAGAAUCAACACACUCAGCAGACCAGCUCGGUUGAAAGAGUUCGGGUCGUGUGGAUGUCUGAAGGCCUUGUGGUGGAGUAUUGAUACAUUAUUCAAGUUCUCUCCCUCGUCUUCAUAAUGUAUUCAUCAGAUUGUUUUUGUAAUUGAUCUCCAUCAGUAUUAAAUCUGCAUAUAUACAUAUGUGUGUAUAUAUUUAUACACAUGCGUGAGGGUCUCUUUACACUUAUCUGCACUUACAUUCAAUAGUAAUACAAAAUAUAUCUAUUAUGAGCCAAAAGGAAUCCUUGCCUCUCGUUUGUUUACACGCUCCUACACUUAAAUAAGGUACGAGCGGCUGUACUUAUCGUCCAAUAAUGAAACCGUUGGUUUUGCCGGAAACCCUCGAACUGUUAUUAUUGAAGAUAAAGUAGAGCCGCUCAUAACUUAUUGCUUUCAUAACGCGUCACCAGUGAGAUUAUAAAUAGCUGCCUGUAAACACAAAGUAGUUGUAGCCACCAAACGUUGUGUCUCAUUUCAGUCGUCUACAGGAAAAUAGACCCUGCGUGUAAACAGCACCGGCUCAUCUCGUUCAUUCACACCGCUCAGGACGCCCACCUCAAUUGUCAAACCGAUCAAACCGAUCAAACUGAUCAAACUGAUCAAACCGAUCAAACCGAUCAAACUGAUCAAACUGAUCAAACCGAUCAUACUGAUCAAAAUCAUUUGUGGGAUUUCCCUUUCGGCGAUCGCCACCGAUCUAAAAGAUAAAAUGUCAACUAAGAGUCGCAGAAAGUCUCAGCUGCUCCUGUGAGUGCGCAGUGAUACGGAGCAAUCGGGUCAAUGUGAGCAGGUUCUGUACUUUAAGGCCCAAUAACGAGCCCCUCGUGACUCUCAACCAAUCAGAGCGCUGGAUUUCAUCCACCGUUAUAGCGGUAAAUACUCGUCUGAUUACGGUACAGUUGGUAGUUGCAGCCGUUUCGUUUCUGCACUCAACAAACAAACAUUAAUUAUAAAUAUUUAGUUGUAUUAAACUCGGCCACAUUAAUCGCACAGAUUAACGCUUUUAUGUUGACGGCCCUCAUACGUGUAAAUAUAUUUACAGUUAUCGUCGCACACACACACAGGAAGUGUGGACUUGUGUCCUAAUGAGGGAGCGUUUGAUAUCCCACCCCUGUGCAGCCCUGACUCAGUCUCCCGCCCUUCCCAG
ensembl:lncRNA